UACGUAGGGUGCAAGCGUUGUCCGGAAUUAUUGGGCGUAAAGAGCUCGUAGGCGGUUCGUCACGUCGGCUGUGAAAUCCCGAGGCUCAACCUCGGGUCUGCAGUCGAUACGGGCGGACUGGAGUACUGCAGGGGAGACUGGAAUUCCUGGUGUAGCGGUGAAAUGCGUAGAUAUCGGGAGGAAUACCGAUGGCGAAGGCAGCCCCCUGGCCAAUACUGACGCUCAGGCACGAAAGGCGUGGGGAGCAAACGAGGAUUAGAAACCCGGAUAGACCCA
rnacentral:rRNA from 1 species